rnacentral:rRNA from 1 species
AGUGAACGCUGGCGGUAGGCCUAACACAUGCAAGUCGAACGGCAGCACAGUAAGAGCUUGCUCUUACGGGUGGCGAGUGGCGGACGGGUGAGGAAUACAUCGGAAUCUACUUUUUCGUGGGGGAUAACGUAGGGAAACUUACGCUAAUACCGCAUAUGACCUACGGGUGAAAGCAGGGGAUCUUCGGACCUUGCGCGAUUGAAUGAGCCGAUGUCGGAUUAGCUAGUUGGCGGGGUAAAGGCCCACCAAGGCGACGAUCCGUAGCUGGUCUGAGAGGAUGAUCAGCCACACUGGAACUGAGACACGGUCCAGACUCCUAAGGGAGGGAGCAGUGGGGAAUAUUGGACAAUGGGCGCAAGCCUGAUCCAGCCAUACCGCGUGGGUGAAGAAGGCCUUCGGGUUGUAAAGCCCUUUUGUUGGGAAAGAAAAGCAGCAGGUUAAUACCCCGCUGUUCUGACGGUACCCAAAGAAUAAGCACCGGCUAACUUCGUG